AUGAAGAGACAGCCCACAGGAAUGACGGAGGCAGGAGAGCUUUGCUGGACCCUGGGGCUCUUUAAGGAGUUCAACCUGAUGAUGAUGCAGUUGUCUGGUAAAGAAAUCACAGCCUGGAGGACGCCUGCCCUAGGGAGACGUGCGCUCCCUUUUCCUGAGAUAAGCAAGGGGUGUCUUCUGCUCUUCCCUCACCUCUAAGGGAUGAUGAAUGCACCGAGGUCAAGCUCUUUGAUGGGAAAGUGGAAUACAGUAAGAAGGUGAAUGGAUUCAUGGGCACUCAUGAACAGGCUCUUUAUCAUUCUGAAUACCCAAAGGCCAGCAUAAUAACUGGCCCAUGGACAUUGAAUUCCCCCAUCACACAAAGUAGUGUACAUCUCCUAAAACAUACUUGAAAUUUAACAAAACAGAGAGUGGGUAUCAGUAAGUCCUGCCUAAGAACCAAAUGGAAAACAGCGCUUCCCUUUCCUUCAUCCCUGGGGUGCUGUCCGCGGCUCCUUCGGCAGCCCCGAGCAGAACUGGAAGGCAGGCUUAGCCUUAUGAGGACGUUCUCAUGAGACGCAGAAAUAAACAAGGUAAUUAGCACGAGGACAGCAUCUUUGUGCUAUCUUCAUGUUGAAUUUGCUUUUUAUCCCUCCUCUGAGGAUGCAGAUGGAGCCUUUGGGAGGCACAGCUGAUUGCGAUCAAAGAAGUACAGUGAAAACCUCACAGGACAGCAGUGAGAUCACAGGCUGUGUGCAUAAGCUCUGCCUGCACAUGCCAACCAACGAGGGAGCAGAAAUGCAGUCUCCAGUCUCUCCAUCUAUCAGGACUCACGGUGUGAAAGCACCACUCUUUCGGGAUUCUUUGUGAAAUAAGCACUCCUACACCACUGAGCAUAGAAGGGAGAUGCCACCAGUGGACCAAAGCCAGGUUAGCUCUUGAAAGACUUCCGUCCUGCAUUGCUCAUGAGAAACAAAAUGAGUUUGUAUUCUUGUUUCAUACUCUAAAACCACAAGGUGGGAUGGGCAAGCAAGAAAGACCUUGCAGAAGUAUAUGUGACAGGCAGCAGGUUGCUAAGGGUAACAACCCAUUGUUCAGCUCUUUCUCCAGCUCAUUCUGUUCCAGGCAGCAAGUGAAGUUAUGCUUGGCAAAUAGGCAGUACAAGCAGUGCUCUAGGUAAAUCAUAAAUCAAUAAAUAAGUAUUUAAUAACUGAACUUUUCUCCAUUACUUCACCACCUGUAAGGAAUCUGAAGUCAAUUAUGUAUUCACUGGGUUGGUUUUUGCCAGAGGACCCACAAGGUGCACAUGAUAAUAGCUGAUUCAUGCAAGAUGACUGGGAAGACCUUAGGCAGAAGCUCCACAGUGUGUGGCUAGUUCUGCUUAGGUCACAUGUCACACUCUAAAUCAACCAUUUUCACCAGAAGAGACUGUCCCGAUGGCUGGGACCUUGGCUCCUUCCUUAGGCUGAGGAUCCAGUCACCCUCAAGUGUGGGAGCCCACAGAGGUUUCCUAGUGAGAGCUGAGCUUGCUUUACCAGCAGGACUGCACAAGAGGAUGAUUGGACCACGGGCCUGGGUACCAGGUGUUUGGAAGGGUCUGCACUUGGUUGUAUCUAGCAAGGGGGAGG